rnacentral:rRNA from 1 species
UACGAAGGGGUGCUAGCGUUGUUCGGAAUCACUGGGCAUAAAGCGCACGUAGGCGGCGACGUAAGUUGGGUGUGAAAUCCCUCGGCCCAACCGAGGAACUGCGCCCAGUACUGCGUUGCUUGAGGAUCCAAGGGGUGCAUGGAAUUCCCGGUGGAGCGGUGAAAUGCGUUGAUAUCGGGAGGAACUCCGGCGGCGAAAGCGGUGCACUGGUGGAUUACUGACGCUGAGGUGCGAAAGCCAGGGGAGCAACGGG